UUGUGUGGACCUGCGUGCAGUCAACAAAGCCAUCAUUCCAGAUAAAUACCCCCUGCCCACCGCUGAAGAACUCACCACACAUUUCCAUGGCUCCACUGUUUUCAGCAAACUGGAUUUAAAGCAGGGCUAUCUUCAAGUGCCCCUGGCACCGGCCAGCCGAGACCUCACGGCCUUUGUCACACAUAUGGGGGUUUUCCGAUAUAAACGCAUGCCCUUUGGCCUCAGCUCCGCCCCCAGCUGCUUCCAGAAGAUAAUGUCCCUUCUUCUAGCUGGCAUACCAGGGGUGUCCAUUUACUUGGACGAUAUUGUAGUUCAUGGAGCCACCCAGUCUCAACAUGAUGCCUGUCUACUUCAGGUUUUCCGUCGGCUCUCUGCCCAUCACGUUACGCUUAACACUGAGAAGUGCCUACUUGGUGUUCCAGAGAUAGAGUUUGUAGGGUACAAGCUCUCAGGGCAAGGCAUCACUCCUAUCUUCUCGCAUGUGGACGCCAUCCAGACCCUCCCUGACCCACAGUCAGUACCCCAACUGGCAUCUUUUCUGGGCAUGGCUACGUAUUACCUCCGUUUUCUCCCACAGUUUGCCUCCACUACAGCUCCACUACGCCACCUCCUCAAAAAGGACAUACCAUGGGAGUGGACCACAGCUUGUCGCCGUGCCGUGCAGACUAUUAAGCAUCAGCUCACUUCAGCCCCAUAUGCUGGCACACUUCAGUCUUGCAGCACCUACAGUUGUUACCUGUGAUGCCUCUGCAGUAGCUCUGGGUGCUGUACUGUCACAACUUCAUGAUGGUGUAGAGAAACCGGUGGCAUUUGCUUCCCGCUCCCUCACUCCAGCUGAACAAAAGUACUCGGUGGGUGAGAGGGAAGCGUUGGCCUGCAUUUGGGCAUGUGAGCGCUGGCACCUCUAUCUCUAUGGCAGAGCCUUCACAAUGCGAACUGAUCAUCAAGCUCUCACUGCACUUUUGUCCACUAGCGGCUCAGGACAUAAACCACUACGGCUACUGAGAUGGGCUGACCGUUUAAACCAGUACAAUUAUACUCUAGAAUUCACACCAGGCCGACAGAACACAGUUGCUGAUCUUCUGCCGAUGGGGUCAGUCACCACUCAAGCAGUGAUUCAAAGGCUGGAUUCAUUGUUUGCUCGUUGGGGUCUACCAGACAUCAUUACCACAGACAACGGGCCCCAAUUCAUCUCAAAUGACUUUACCACUUACCUGGCAGAAAAAGCUAUUAAACACAUCAGGACAGCUGUUUACCACCCCCAGUCUAACGGAGGUGUGGAGCGCCUCAACCAGACACUAAAGAAUGGCAUUCGUACUUACCUGACCGAGGGCUGGCAGUUUGAAGCAGCUCUCUUGCAAACCCUCCUACACUGCCGUGCCUCUAAGCACACAACUACAGGGGUGUCCCCAGCGUUGCUGAUGCUGGGAAGGGAAUUACAACUCCCUCUUGAUCGCCUUAGUUUUGCAAAGAGUAAUCCUGCACCGUCAGUUACACGUUUGCACGUAGAGGCUCAGCAGCAGCGUAUGAAGCUGAGGUUUGACCAGUCCAGAAGGGCCAAACCACCUAAAUUGCAGGAGCUGGACUGGGUGCGUGUCUGGCUUCCCCGGCGUCACAGCAAGCUACAGCCUCGAUGGUCAGAACCGUCACAGAUUAUGAAAAAGCUGGGUCCAGCUACUUACUGUCUGCAGGAUGGGUCACGAUGGCAUGCAGAUCGCCUGAGGAAGGUUCCGGUGCCAACAGAAGCACAAGGAGGGGGGAGCACUCCUUCACUUCUUUCCUGGCAGCCCCCGGCUGUGAUUGACAACGGGCUGGCAGCCCCACCUGCACCUCUCAGGGCUCCUCAAGUUGUACGGCGACUUCAGAGGGCCAAACAACAACCUACAUGGAUGAAGGACUAUGUGACUGGCUAAUGGUGUUUAAAAAAGGGGGGGGAAAUGUUAUGUUUAGAGUUUUGCAUGUUCGAUGCUACAGGGGUGACGUAAUGGGGAACUGUGGAAAAUCGGGUGACGGUUCCUGGGGGGACAGCUUGGGCUAGGAACACACAGGGUGGGACUUCUAAAAUAAAGCUGAGUGUUAGGGAGUGUUUGUUCCGACAGAUAAUAAACAACAACGUUUAUAAGUACAAGAGUCUUGCGUCCUUCCUGACACAACACUCCCAGUUCCCUAUUGUAGCAUUUUUAUUUAUUUAUUUUUUUUGUCCCGAAUUCUGUAGCGAUUGUGUUCCCUCCAGUAUUUCGCAGUUUGUUUCGCAGGCGCGAUUACGUUCAAAUCUGAAAGGCAGUGUUCAAUCACACAGUUCUGUUUUUAUAUAAUAUAAUAAUAGUGAAGGGGGUUGAACUGAAAACGCCGAAACACAGUAUCGUAAAAGGAAAACAAAAAAAAAAGUUGUGUAUAAAGUUAUCAGUUGCUGCAAUAAUUAUCUGUCCUUUGGUGCCAUCUUGCGGAUAUUUUCUGUAAUGCGGUUUAUUUUAUCCUCAACCAAAAUGGCUGCUACUCCUAUGUUAAGUAUAUGAGUGAAGCCAGGUAUUGCCCUAUUUCCUGUCUGCCAAUGCGGCGUUGUUUCCGUGUUGCAGCGAAAACCGGUGUUUUUACAGUUCCGGGCAGGCAGUUAAUUCUGAAGGAAACAACAACGCGAAACCUGAUGGAACGUUCCACUGCCUUUCCCUCCCGACCUCUCAGCAGAGUGGUUGUGACCAGCGGUACCCAUGGCAAUGAGCUGGGAGGAGUCUGUCUGGUGAGGGAGUGGCUGAGGCAGGGCAACACCCCCUUUCUGCACUGGCGCAGCUUCAGAGCGCAGACACUGCUAGCCAAUCCCAGAGCAACCAAGCAGAACAGGAGAUACCUGGAGACAGACCUGAACAGGUGCUUCACAGCAAAGAUAUUGAGGUCUCUCUCUCCCCUACACUCCUCUGCAGUGUUUUGAGCUCCAGCAGCCCUUUGAUUACCCCCGAGACGAGGAGGGCGUCCUGACAGCCUGCAUCCACCCAGAGAGACAGGUCAGUGUGUGUGUGUGUCUCUGUCUGUCCUGUCAGCCUGUAUCCACCCAGAGAGACAGGUCAGUGUGUGUGUGUGUCUGUCUGUCCUGACAGCCUGUAUCCACCCAGAGAGACAGGUCAGUGUGUCUGUCUGUCUGUCUGUCUGUCCUGACAGCCUGCAUCCACCCAGAGAGACAGGUCAGUGUGUGUCUGUCUGUCUGUCUGUCCUGACAGCCUGUAUCCACCCAGAGAGACAGGUCAGUGUGUGUGUCUGUCUGUCUGUCUGUCCUGACAGCCUGUAUCCACCCAGAGAGACAGGUCAGUGUGUGUGUGUGUCUGUCUGUCUGUCUGUCCUGACAGCCUGUAUCCACCCAGAGAGACAGGUCAGUGUGUGUGUCUGUCUGUCUGUCCUGUCAGCCUGUAUCCACCCAGAGAGACAGGUCAGUGUGUGUGUGUGUGUCUGUCUGUCCUGACAGCCUGUAUCCACCCAGAGAGACAGGUCAGUGUGUGUCUGUCUGUCUGUCUGUCCUGUCAGCCUGCAUCCACCCAGAGAGACAGGUCAGUGUGUGUGUGUCUGUCUGUCUGUCCUGUCAGCCUGCAUCCACCCAGAGAGACAGGUCAGUGUGUGUGUGUCUGUCUGUCUGUCCUUACAGCCUGCAUCCACCCAGAGAGACAGGUCAGUGUGUGUGUGUCUGUCUGUCUGUCCUGACAGCCUGCAUCCACCCAGAGAGACAGGUCAGUGUGUGUGUGUCUGUCUGUCUGUCCUGUCAGCCUGCAUCCACCCAGAGAGACAGGUCAGUGUGUGUGUGUCUGUCUGUCUGUCCUUACAGCCUGCAUCCACCCAGAGAGACAGGUCAGUGUGUGUGUGUCUGUCUGUCUGUCCUUACAGCCUGCAUCCACCCAGAGAGACAGGUCAGUGUGUGUGUGUCUGUCUGUCUGUCCUGUCAGCCUGCAUCCACCCAGAGAGACAGGUCAGUGUGUGUGGACCGGGAUUUCAAACUUGCCCCGAAUCUGAAAGUAAUGAAUGUGUAAAUGAACCAUCCUUCACUACAAUGAAUAACGCUGCUUAAAUACCCGCAUCCACAUCAAAUAAUUGUAUUAUACUAGAAUGAAUUGCAGCCAGUCGCUGUUUCUUUUCUGUUUGUUAAUAUUCAAUCACCAAGUAUGAAAACACAAUCAAAGCAUCCUCCUCAUCAUCACCCCGCUGCUCUGUUCAUAGAUUAGCUAUUCAUUCAUUAAGAUCUGAUCAGAAGCAGCUGAUCAGUGGGACUUGUUUGCUGCACACAGCAAUUCCACCACAGGAUUAAUCUCAGCAAAGGUGGAGCUCAUUUAUACGUGAAUUACUGUCAGUUUAGGGGCAAGUUUGAAAUCCCGGACUGUCUCGCAGCGUCCAGUUAAUCUGGAGCCAUAUGGUAACCUUAGUUUCUUUAUUUCAUUUAUUUGGUUGGGACCACGUGCAAUUAAAACAUUCAUGAUUGAACAUGCGAUGAUGCGUUGCACAUUCCGAUUUAGCCUAAGCUAGUUUUCAUCGGUUGUCCCAAAAACAGUUCAUGUAACUUCUUCAUCCAUUUGAGUUUGAUUUAUAGUUAGUUUGAACAUUUUCAUUCAAUUUAAAAAGUAAACAGCUAGCUGAGGCAAUAGCUGGCUUUUUUUAGAACUUGUGCUUUUUGCGAAAGAAACAAAGUGCUGGAAUCAGGAAAGACGCGGAGAUGUAGACGGAGAGAAGCUGAUCAACCAGAAAAGGGAUUUACCAGUGAACUUAUGGUCUGUCAAAGCAACAGUUUACAGGCCUGCGUAUUUCCUGCAGAUUUGGGCUUGCUGUUUUUUUGCAGGUGUUUUAAAUGUUUGAGAGCCACGGGAUGCAGUUUUUUUAAAGCUUGUUUGAGUUUUUUAUUUUAUUUUAUCUGACUUCAGCACAAAGUUAUUGUUUUAAAAACUGGUUGCAGGAGUAGUUUGGGCGAUUGACUGGCCUCGAUGUAUCCAGCUGCCUUCAGCAUUAUUCACACCCUUCAUAGACUAGAAUGGGUUUUAGCAAAAUAAAUGCAAGUGUACAUUCAGUAUUUGUUGUAUAAAUGAAUGAAAACAUUAAUAUUUUUAGACAUACA